rnacentral:piRNA from 1 species
UAGGUCAGCCCCAGAGACAGUGAAGACCC